UACGGGGGGGAGCAAGCGUUGUCCGGAUUUAUUGGGCGUAAAGAGCGUGUAGGCGGCCAUGUAGGUCCGUUGUGAAAACUCGAGGCUCAACCUCGAGACGCCGAUGGAAACCAUGUGGCUAGAGUCCGGAAGAGGAGAGUGGAAUUCCUGGUGUAGCGGUGAAAUGCGCAGAUAUCAGGAAGAACACCCGUGGCUAAGGCGGCUCUCUAGUACGGUACUGACGCUGAGACGCGAAAGCGUGGGGAGCGAACAGG
rnacentral:rRNA from 1 species